UUUCCUCAAAUCAGGUAGGA
rnacentral:rRNA from 1 species